rnacentral:lncRNA from 1 species
GCAGAUGUGGGCUCUGUAGAUAAGGACUGGCAGGAAAGUUGUUUACUGAAACUAAAACAGGGAGGCACAAAGGAUAAGGAAGUUAGUUUGGCUUUGGAAGUAGGGAACAAAGAACAAGGACACUGAACAAGCUAAAUCUUUGAAGAGGAACUUCUUUUGUAUCUGACAAAGGUCUUCAAGGAAGAAGGGAGAGAGUGACCUUUCUAGGUUUUAUGGUUGAUGCUGGUGGAGAGGAGUUCUAGUUUCUAAGAUUUACCUUGAGGAAGAAGAACUGUAGUUUCUGUGGCUUGCAGACAAGCAAAGCAAAGCUGAUAAGCAUCAUUAGCAUCCAUUUUAAAUUUAAGCAAACUGAACUCCAAGAGGUUAAGAAACUUGCUCCAAGUGACACAGCUGGUGGCAGACGUGAUGUUCAGUGAUGUGUGUUACUUAUCUGAAACUUGAAGCUCCUUUCAAGGUUCAAGCUCACCAGUUAAUAGAAGAUAAUCUGUAUGGAGCAUAAAUUUCAAGGAGAUGUCUACAAUAAAUCUUUCGUGAGCCUUCCAUUUGCC